UGCGGGGUCGUCCAACGGUAAGACAGCGGCCUUUGAAGCCGUUUAUCAUGGUUCGAAUCCAUGCCUCGCAGCCA
rnacentral:tRNA from 1 species